UCCUAAAAGACCCAAAGAGCUGGCUCUGGA
rnacentral:piRNA from 1 species